CCUCUGGCGUCUCUCUCGUUCUCCCUCCGUGUCACUCUUUCGUCCUCACAAACUUUGCCUGGCGAGAAGCGACGCUGUUGGCGGAGGCACGACGCCCACGGGGGCCUCACUCGAGUGGAAGCAAGUGCCACACGAAAAGCUCCUCCUGCUGUUACCCUAACACCACCGCCACAACUCCACCACCACCACCACGAUUCCAAUUUCUGCGCACAGGUGCGGCCUUAGAGAGGAAUGCGCGUCUCGGCCACAGCCGCGCCUUCCCCAUCUCGAUUCCGGCGCGCGGCUUCUCUUCCUCCCCCGGUGGCCUGCGGUAGCAUCGAUGUUCAGGAGCACCAACGUCGCUGCCAGGGUCUUCGAGCGCCAAAUCCUCACCCCUCGCCCUGGUGCAAGCAUUAAUUUGGUUAGACAUUUUUAUGAGAAUCUGGUUCCUAGCUGUACUAUAUGUGAUAUUGAUUGUCCAGAUCACUCAUUGCGUAAGAUCACGGAUGAUGGUCGGUACCUUGUAAGUUUUAGCAGGAACCUCCAAGAUAUCAUAGUUUACAGACCCACAUGGUUGUCAUUUUCAUUCAAAGGAGAAAAUUGUGAUUACCAGAGUUUGACCCAGAAAGCAAAGAAGUUUGACAGCUUCUUUACCCAGCUAUACACUGUAUCACUAGGAUCUAGCAGUGAAUUUAUUUGCAAAGACUUUUUUCUUUAUUUGGAGGAUCCUCAAUUUGGCUUGUUUGCAACAUCCACCGCACAAAGUCAUGAAGUUCCUGCUAUUGAGGGUGCAAUUCAUGGAGUCCCUUCAAUAGAAAAAAUAACAUUUCACCUUGUAAGACUUAAAGACGGAGUGGUAAUGGAUGAGAAGUCGUUUUGCAAUGAUUUUGUCAACCUAGCUCAUAGCAUGGGGGUUUUCUUGUAUGAAGAUUUAUUGUGUAUAAUGUCCCUAAGAUAUCAGACAAUACAUAUUCUUCAAGUUAGGGAUUCUGGAAACCUAGUUGAUGUGCGGAAUAUUGGUUCAUUCUGCCUAGAGGAUGAUGAGUUAUUUCUCAACUCUCAUGCUCAGUGCAUGACAGUUCCAAAUAAAAGCAAACCAGUCGGAAGUGUUCAUGAAUCGGCUAAUGGCAUUCAUCACCAGCCGGUUGCACAAGCAAGCUCUUUCCUUACUGGUAUCAAGCAACGUUUGCUUUCUUUUAUUUUUCGCAAAGCAUGGAGUGAAGAAGCAGAUCCAAUUUUGAGGGUUCAACAUCUUAAGAAGAAGUUCUAUUUUCACUUCCAAGAUUAUGUUGAUCUCAUCAUGUGGAAGGCUCAGUUUUUGGAUCGUCAUCAUCUUCUAAUCAAAUUUGGUAGUGUUGAUGGAGGAGUUUCUCGGAGUACUGAUCAACAUCCAGCUUUUUUUGCUGUGUAUAACAUGGAAACAACAGAGGUCAUUGCAUUUUAUCAGAAUUCAUCGGAAGAAUUGUAUUCCUUGUUUGAACAAUUCUAUGACCAUUUUCAUGCAAACUCAAGAGAGUCGGUGCAUGCUAAUUUUAUUUCAUCCCACUCCAAUAAUAUCCAUGCUCUUGAACAACUUUGGAGCAUGAAAAACAAACAAAGCAGUUUCUCACAGUUUGUGAAGAAGAUGAUGACUUCAGUACCAUACACUUGUCAGUCACAAAGCCCUUCCCCGUAUUUUGAUGUGUCACUCUUUCGAUACGAUGAAAAGUUGAUUUCAUCAACAGACCGGCAUAGGCACUCCACUGAUCAUCCAAUAAAGUUUAUUUCGAGAAGGCAACCAAACGUUUUGAAAUUUAAGAUAAAACCAGGACUCGAGACUAGUGGUGCCGAAGCAAGGACAAAAAAAAUAUGCUCGUUCCUUUUCCAUCCAUACUUACCUAUGGCACUUUCCAUCCAACAGACAUACAUGCAACCAACUGUUGUGAAUCUACACCUGCGGAUGUAAGGAUCUCAUGUUGGACUAAUAAGAGCUUGGUUGAUCCCUUUUUUUGGGUCCUUGGUGUGCUAGGAUUGAGGUGGUCCUCCCUAUCCGUUAGGCUGCAUCAUAAGGUUUUGUAGAACAUGCCAGCAAUUAGGUGCUACUGGCCAAUUGAGUUGAUAUUUGACUUGAGGAUGAUCUAAAGGAGCCAAAGAUUGUUCUCUUUUUGCUGCAAACAGGGGCUGAUAGGGUUUGCCUGAAAAUGCUGAUGUUCAAAGGGCAAGUCGAAUGAAAGUAUUCAUCUGUCAUAUCAUCUUUGGGGUAAAAAUCGAUUUCAUUUACUGUUACCCUUUGGACUUGUAUACUAGUAUCCUUGGGCUUGGUUUAGCUAAAGGCAAAAGUUAAAUUAAAACUUUAUCAUCGCUGAUCAUGGGUUGAAAGCAGCAAUUGGGGCAUAGAACAUGUUUUUUUCAAGAUUUGUUUUGUUAAUUGUUGCUAUUAAAUUGUUGUGUAGAUCGAUGGAGCUUGAAGUUAUUGUAAUACCUGUUAGGAUGUUUUGGAUUGAAGGAUUAGCUUUAAGGGACUGAACAUGAGUCAGCACUUUUCUC